UACGUAGGGGGCAAGCGUUGUUCGGAAUUAUUGGGCGUAAAGAGCGUGUAGGCGGUUUGGUAGGUCCGUUGUGAAAACUCGAGGCUCAACCUCGAGACGCCGGCGGAAACCAUCAGGCUAGAGUCCGGAAGAGGAGAGUGGAAUUCCUGGUGUAGCGGUGAAAUGCGCAGAUAUCAGGAAGAACACCCGUGGCUAAGGCGGCUCUCUAGUACGGUACUGACGCCGAGACGCGAAAGCGUGGGGAGCGAACAGG
rnacentral:rRNA from 1 species